GUAGCGGCGAGCGAACGCGGAUUAGCCCAAACCAAUAAAGUUUUCUUUAUUGGGGUUGCGGACAUAUCAUAACGAAGAGAUAUCGUAAUUGAAGAGGUUUGGAAAGACCCACCACAGAAGGUAAUAGUCCUGUAUGUUAAACGAGAAGACUUUAGAUAUGAUCCAGAGUACCACGGGACACGUGAAACCCUGUGGGAAGCAGGAGGG
rnacentral:rRNA from 1 species